rnacentral:misc_RNA from 1 species
AUCACGUACAUUUUCAGGCUUUGAACCAGCAGAAUAUUAUAAUGGUAAGAUCAAAACUACAUACUGACACGGCUUUCUUUCACAUUCUCAAUAAUGCAACCAGAAAGCUAGUCUAGAGGAAAGAAAGAUAAACAACAAAUGCAGUCAACCAAACACCUGCACUAGCAGUGUAUUUCCAUCUAACCUUUAAGCACCAACAUAUCUUUGUUAAAUUGCCCACCAAUAUGCGACUAUGAAUGAUAUAUUGGCAAUUCGCCUCUAAGAUCAGAUAACCCAAAAUGCAUCAUAAUAGUUUUAGGAGGAAGACUCGGGAGCUGCUGCUCGUCUUGUACGUUCAGGCGGAGGACCAUCUCUUCUUCUUACAUAUGCUUUACUCUUGCUUCUUGUUCUGUUAGCCUGUUUGGGUUGGUAAGUAGGAUACUGACAAGGAAUUAUUUCUCCAUUGAUGUACUUAUCUCCUCCAUAGUCCUUGUUCUUCACAUCUAUAUAAGAAUCGGGCAGGACCCAUAGAACUCCAGGUAGACCCUUAAACUUCUCUGAUGUUUCUUCCGAAACAGUGCACUGAAAUCCAGUGUAAGUGGUAGUACUAAAGGCAUACAUGUUCUUCUUUGCCUCUUCCAUACUUCCAAGAACGGUGGCUAGAGUGUCAAGAUAAGUAUCAAUCAUCUGUUCUCUAGUAGGAGCAGGGUCUUUAGGGAACUCCAUAACAAUAAGCCAGUGGUUAUAAUCACAUCCAGGUAACAUAAUAGUUUCCCUUUCGUCGCUGUUACUGCUCCUCUUAGAAGAGUAUUCCCCAUCAGAAAUGGCUCUUACAACUGGGAAUCUUGAACUUGUUGAUGGUGGAAUUGAAGAGAGAGAGGUGGUGAGAAAAGGGUAGGAAAGAGAAAGAAGAAAAGUUGGGGUUUUAGGGAGGUUUUGGAAUUGAGAAUUAGGGUUUAAGGUUUUGGAAAAAGAAGGAAGUUUGAGAGCUGCCAUGGCAACUGUAAGAGGGGAAAA